UGCAAUAAUUUAAGGUCAUAUCUUACCAUGCAAAUGAAAGCACCACAAUCCACUGCAUUAGUCUGCACUGGCAUGUUGCUGAUCUAAGACAUGCAGUUAUUUGAAUUGUUAUGGCGAGUACUGUCCAUUCUAUGCUAUGUACAUACGGGUACAUGUAUGCCUAUAAACUUACAACACUGCUGAUAUUAGUCUUUACUUAUAAAAACUCUGGAGCUACUUAUGUGCAUAUCUUGUUUUGUUGCUUGACUUCUUUACUCUCUCCUCUCUCUAGGAUGUACCAUUACAUUAUUGAUGUUUCCUGUUUCAUUGGCACUUCUGCAAAAGUAGAUGCUAUGUCUCACUGGUCCGGUCACACUGCAGAGGGAGAGCCUUGUGAUACAUACCUUUAACUAUCAUCAGGUGAUAUGGCUAGUAUACUGUGAGAUGAUAUAGCCACAGCAGAAUGCUAUUGAUGGAGGUGAUGCUCUCUUUGUCCAGAGCCUUUAAUCUAUUGCUGACUAUAUUGACUCGGCAGUGUAGGAUUUAUUGACCAGAGAAGAGAAAGCUGUUAAUAGAUUCUUGUAUUGGACCAAAGAAGUAAUGAUAUAUGAAGCAGUUACUUCAGAGAUCUCUCGGAAACUAACAUGUUGACUUUAGAGAAGAGAGAGCUGAUGAUGAUAAUGACAGAGAAGAAGGAAAGAAGAAACAAGAGGAGGAGGAGGGAGUUUCUGGUCCUACAACUAAGAAACUAUGUCAUCGCUUGC